GGGCAGUGAUGAAAAAAUUUGAUUAAGCUCCACUCUGAUUUUUCUGUACUGAUAAUUUUCUUACCCAUUUUUCCCAAGCCC
rnacentral:snoRNA from 1 species